rnacentral:rRNA from 1 species
CGUAGGUAACCUGCCUGGUAGCGGGGGAUAACUAUUGGAAACGAUAGCUAAUACCGCAUAAUAGCAGUUAUUGCAUGAUAACUGUUUGAAAGGUGCAAUUGCAUCACUACCAGAUGGACCUGCGUUGUAUUAGCUAGUUGGUGGGGUAACGGCUCACCAAGGCGACGAUACAUAGCCGACCUGAGUGGGUGAUCGGCCACACUGGGACUGAGACACGGCCCAG